rnacentral:misc_RNA from 1 species
GAUGAAGAACGUAGUGAAAUGCGAUAAGUAAUGUGAAUUGCAGAAUUCAGUGAAUCAUCGAAUCUUUGAACGCACAUUGCGGCCAUAGGUAUUCCUUUGGCCAUGCCUGUUCGAGCGUCAUUUACACCCUCAAGCCUAGCUUGGUGUUGGGCGUCUGUCCCGCCGUUCUCGCGCGCGGACUCGCCUCAAAGUCAUUGGCGGCGGUCGUGCCGGCCCCCUCGCGCAGCACAUUUGCGCUUCUCGGAGGCCCGGCGGAUCCGCGCUCCAGCAAGACCUUUCACGACUUGACCUCGGAUCAGGUAGGGAUACCCGCUGAACUUAAGCAUAUCAAUAAGCGGAGGA